rnacentral:lncRNA from 1 species
UAACAGGCGGAGACGUAACAAUACGCCUAACCAGAGCCAAGGUCACGGCCAGGGCAAGCCGCAGCCAGGGAACAAACCAGGCUUUUGAAGUUACGCUCGAGGACAGCGUACCACAUUCCAUACCGGAUCCUCCUCUGAGUUUCAAGGACCGCCUGUCCCAUUUCUACCGGGCAUGGUCGCGCAUAACAUCGGACCGCUGGGUCCUGCGCACAGUGAAGGCGGGCUAUAUCCUCCAGUUUUCCUCGUCCCCCCCCCUGCCAUCCCCCUUCCCCGUCCCUCUUCAGGGACCCCUGUCACGAGCAACUUCUCAUGCAGGAGAUACAGACCCUUCUCACAGUAGGAGCAGUGGAAGAGGUCCCACCAGACCUAAGGGGAAAAGGAUUCUACUCCAGGUACUUCCUGAUUCCCAAGGCAAAAGGGGGCCUCUGUCCUAUCUUGGACCUGCACGACCUAAACAAGUUUCUGGUCAGAACGCGCUUCCGUAUGGUCUCCCUUGGAACUAUUAUCCCAUCCCUGGAUCCGGGGGAUUGGUACGCUGCCCUCGAUAUGAAAGAUGCCUAUUUUCACAUCGCAAUCAAUCCGGCCCACAGGCGGUUCCUGCGCUUCACCGUCAACCAGCGCCAUUUCCAAUUUACAGUCCUGCCUUUUGGCCUGGCAUCAGCACCACGAGUAUUCACGAAAUGCAUGUCCGUGGUAGCAGCCUUCCUUCGGAAAAGAAGGAUGCGCGUGUUCCCGUACUUGGACGACUGGCUCCUCGCGGGCAGGUCGGAGGCCGAGGUCCGCUCUCACAUGACGCUGGCUCUACAGAUGUUCGGCAGGCUCGGCCUCCUGGUCAACGUACCCAAGUCCACGUUAGCUCCCACACAGAGACUGGACUUCAUAGGUGCAGUCCUGGACUCGGUGACCACGUGGGCAAGCCUCCCAGAGUCGCGGUUCCUGACAAGUCAGAGGGCCGUAAGCUCAGUCCAGAAGUUCCCCACGACAACGGCAAGGUGUUGCAUGCAGCUCCUGGGACACAUGGCAGCCUGCACACAUGUAGUCAGACAUGCCCGCCUAAGGCUCCGGCCCUUGCAGUUGUGGUUUACCCAAACGUACUGCCCCAACAGAGACCCCUUGGAUCUGGUGGUGACGAUCCCGGAUCGGGUGUUGGGCUCGCUCCGCUGGUGGCUCGAUCAACAGCAGGUCUGCGAAGGGAUCCCCUUCACUGCCCCACAGCCCACUCUGACGUUAGUAACAGAUGCAUCGGACCUGGGUUGGGGGGCACACCUGGGGGAACUGCGGACCCAAGGCUUGUGGUCCAGGGAAGACAGGUUGCUUCACAUCAAUCUAAAGGAGCUGAGAGCGGUUCGCCUCGCCUGUCAGACCUUCCACGCCACCAUAGAAGGUCACAGCGUGGCAGUCCUGACGGACAACACUACCGCCAUGUUCUAUAU